rnacentral:lncRNA from 1 species
CAUGAACAUGAAUCUUCAUUAGUUGAACAAACUACGCUAACACGUAUAUCAGAAAUGACCGUUAGAGAUCACGAGUUUAACCGAGGGAAAGAAAGCAUACCUAAGUAUAGAACAUUAAGAAAAUUGAAUGAUAUACCAAGGGGUGUUCGGCCAGUUAAGUCACUUUACAGAGUUGAUGAGUCCACUAAGACUAUAUUUUGAGCGAACGCAUAAAUUAAAAUACAAUGCAACAGUUACGCUGUAUACAGUGGAUUGAAAUUGAUAAACUAUAACAAGAAAAUGUUCGGCUGCGAUUAAAUCCGUCUUCUCUGAAAAUAAACAAACAUAAUUAUGAUGUUUUCUGUUGAUUGCCACCACAAAUUUAAAUGCCAAAUCUACUGUUUUCAAUUUUGCCUUAAUAAAAUUGCUUGUGUCCAAGAUUACAUCUUUUUGGAUACCGUGCAACUUGGA